AACAGGUGCUGCAUGGCUGUCGUCAGCUCGUGUCGUGAGAUGUUCGGUUAAGUCCGCUAACGAGCGCAACCCUCGCUGUGUGUUACAAGUGUCACACGGAACUGCCGGUCAUAAACCGGAGGAAGGUGGGGAUGACGUCAAGUCAGCAUGGCCUUUAUAUCCUGGGCUACACACACGCUACAAUGGGAAGGGACAAUAGGUUGCGAAACCGCGAGGUGGAGCCAAUCCAGCAAAACUUCCCUCAGUUCAGAUUGCAGGCUGCAACUCGCCUGCAUGAAGUUGGAGUUGCUAGUAAACGCAGGUCAGCCAUACUGCGUUGAAUACGUUCCCGGGGCUU
rnacentral:rRNA from 1 species